rnacentral:rRNA from 1 species
GACGAACGCUGGCGGCGUGCCUAAUACAUGCAAGUUGAGCGCUGAAGGUUGGUACUUGUACCGACUGGAUGAGCAGCGAACGGGUGAGUAACGCGUGGGGAAUCUGCCUUUGAGCGGGGGACAACAUUUGGAAACGAAUGCUAAUACCGCAUAAAAACUUUAAACACAAGUUUUAAGUUUGAAAGAUGCAAUUGCAUCACUCAAAGAUGAUCCCGCGUUGUAUUAGCUAGUUGGUGAGGUAAAGGCUCACCAAGGCGAUGAUACAUAGCCGACCUGAGAGGGAUCGGCCACAUUGGGACUGAGACACGGCCCAAACUCCUACGGGAGGCAGCAGUAGGGAAUCUUCGGCAAUGGACGAAAGUCUGACCGAGCAACGCCGCGUGAGUGAAGAAGGUUUUCGGAUCGUAAAACUCUGUUGGUAGAGAAGAACGUUGGUGAGAGUGGAAAGCUCAUCAAGUGACGGUAACUACCCAGAAAGGGACGGCUAACUACGUG